rnacentral:rRNA from 1 species
UACGGGGGGGGCAAGCGUUGUUCGGAAUUACUGGGCGUAAAGGGCUCGUAGGCGGCCAACUAAGUCAGACGUGAAAUCCCUCGGCUUAACCGGGGAACUGCGUCUGAUACUGGAUGGCUUGAGAUUGGGAGAGGGAUGCGGAAUUCCAGGUGUAGCGGUGAAAUGAGUAGAUAUCUGGAGGAACACCGGUGGCGAAGGCGGCAUCCUGGACCAACACUGACGCUGAGGAGCGAAAGCCAGGGGAGCAAACGGG